rnacentral:misc_RNA from 1 species
UUCUUCCGUUGAUAAUUGGAGAUGGUGAUUUUUCUAUCUUUUUGAGGGGUCUUUUCUGUUUCCAUAGAAGAAUGUUUCUUGAGGAAAAACUUUACGUGGCUUCAAGUCUUCGGCGGCCUUUGUUUUUGUGCGACUUCUCAACUAUCCAGUCCAGCUAGGGUGUGGAGGAGGAUGAGAUGGGCAGCGGCAUUGCUUAUCAUAGUGUCUCUCUCUCAAUAGCUCUAGGGUUUGUGUUUAUGGGCCUUAGGUCAAACUUGUAAUGUAAAGCUAUUUUUAGGCUCAUUUUUCGUUAACUCUACACUUGAUCAACUGCAAAAACAUGGG